rnacentral:piRNA from 1 species
UACCUGUGUGUUUGUUACAAA